CACACCGCCCGUCGCUACUACCGAUUGAAUGGCUCAGUGAGGCGUUCGGACUGGCUCGGGGAGGUUGGCAACGACCACCCCAAGCCGGAAAGUUCGUCAAACUCGGUCAUUUAGAGGAAGUAAAAGUCGUAACAAGGUCUCCGUAGGUGAACCUGCGGAGGGAUCAUUA
rnacentral:rRNA from 1 species